rnacentral:rRNA from 1 species
UACAGAGGUCUCAAGCGUUGUUCGGAUUCAUUGGGCGUAAAGGGUGCGUAGGUGGCGCUGUAAGUCAGGUGUGAAAUUUCGGAGCUUAACUCCGAAACUGCAUUUGAUACUGCGGUGCUCGAGGACUGGAGAGGAGACUGGAAUUUACGGUGUAGCAGUGAAAUGCGUAGAGAUCGUAAGGAAGACCAGUGGCGAAGGCGGGUCUCUGGACAGUUCCUGACACUGAGGCACGAAGGCCAGGGGAGCAAACAGG